GUGUGUGUGUGUGUGUGUGUAUGUGUGUGUGUGGUAGAUGGUAAUUUUCCAUACGGGCAUUUGAGUUUGUCGAUGGAGCUCAUCAAGAUGUAGGAGC